rnacentral:rRNA from 1 species
CGCGUGGGAACAUACCUUUUGGUUCGGAACAACACAGGGAAACUUGUGCUAAUACCGGAUAAGCCCUUACGGGGAAAGAUUUAUCGCCGAAAGAUUGGCCCGCGUCUGAUUAGCUAGUUGGUGAGGUAACGGCUCACCAAGGCGACGAUCAGUAGCUGGUCUGAGAGGAUGAUCAGCCACAUUGGGACUGAGACACGGCCCAAACUCCUACGGGAGGCAGCAGUGGGGAAUAUUGGACAAUGGGCGAAAGCCUGAUCCAGCCAUGCCGCGUGAGUGAUGAAGGCCCUAGGGUUGUAAAGCUCUUUUGUGCGGGAAGAUAAUGACGGUACCGCAAGAAUAAGCCCCGGCUAACUUCGUGCCAGCAGCCGCGGUAAUACGAAGGGGGCUAGCGUUGCUCGGAAUCACUGGGCGUAAAGGGUGCGUAGGCGGGUUUUUAAGUCAGAGGUGAAAUCCUGGAGCUCAACUCCAGAACUGCCUUUGAUACUGAGAAUCUUGAGUACGGGAGAGGUGAGUGGAACUGCGAGUGUAGAGGUGAAAUUCGUAGAUAUUCGCAAGAACACCAGUGGCGAAGGCGGCUCACUGGCCCGUUACUGACGCUGAGGCACGAAAGCGUGGGGAGCAAACAGGAUUAGAUACCCUGGUAGUCCACGCCGUAAACGAUGAAUGCCAGCCGUUAGUGGGUUUACUCACUAGUGGCGCAGCUAACGCUUUAAGCAUUCCGCCUGGGGAGUACGGUCGCAAGAUUAAAACUCAAAGGAAUUGACGGGGGCCUGCACAAGCGGUGGAGCAUGUGGUUUAAUUCGACCACGCGAAGAACCUUACCAGCCCUUGACAUCCCGGUCGCGGAUUCCAGAGACGGAAUCCUUCAGUUAGGCUGGACCGGAGACAGGUGCUGCAUGGCUGUCGUCAGCUCGUGUCGUGAGAUGUUGGGUUAAGUCCCGCAACGAGCGCAACCCCCGUCCUUAGUUGCUACCAUUUAGUUGAGCACUCUAAGGAGACUGCCGGUGAUAAGCCGCGAGGAAGGUGGGGAUGACGUCAAGUCCUCAUGGCCCUUACGGGCUGGGCUACACACGUGCUACAAUGGCGGUGACAAUGGGACGCUAAGGGGCAACCCUUCGCAAAUCUCAAAAAGCCGUCUCAGUUCGGAUUGGGCUCUGCAACUCGAGCCCAUGAAGUUGGAAUCGCUAGUAAUCGUGGAUCAGCAUGCCACGGUGAAUACGUUCCCGGGCCUUGUACACACCGCCCGUCACACCAUGGGAGUUGGUUUUACCUGAAGACGGUGCGCUAACCCGCAAGGGAGGCAGCCGGCCACGGUAGGGUCAGCGACUGGGGUGAAGUCGUAACAAGGUA